rnacentral:rRNA from 1 species
GACGAAGGGGGCUAGCGUUGUUCGGAAUUACUGGGCGUAAAGCGCGUGUAGGCGGUUGUCCAAGUUGGAUGUGAAAGCCUUGAGCUUAACUCAAGAAAUGCAUUCAGGACUGGAUGACUAGAGGACCGGAGAGGAUAGUGGAAUUCCCAGUGUAGUGGUGAAAUACGUAGAGAUUGGGAAGAACACCAGUGGCGAAGGCGGCUAUCUGGACGGUUUCUGACGCUAAGACGCGAAAGCGUGGGGAGCAGACAGG